rnacentral:lncRNA from 1 species
AACUUUUCCUAUGAACUCUUCUCUAAAGCAGGUCACAGGGAAAAAAAGGGUUUAAAGAGAAAUAACUUCUCCGGGCAAAAACUGAGGUUAGCGGGCCUAUCAGCUGUUUCUUCUCACUCCACCACUGCUGCUGACUGGAGGAGCAGCCUGGAAAGCAGCCGCCCUCCCGCCCUUAGCAGAAUGACGCAUCAUCCAUAAAAAAUGUGAAUGUGAGGACGGUGGGACCAUCCUGGCACACUGAGCAGCAGGGACCUCCGAGCCCUCAGAUGUCAUCCAGCCAGGUGUGUGGGGGCCACUCGCCAUGCACAGCUUCUCUCAGCAGAGGCUGACCAGAAUGGUGGUGAUAUGAAGAGUUGGGGAAUUCGACUUGAAUACAAAACAUAACACUGCUUUCACUUAAAAAGGUUGGUGAACCAUACUCCAACAGAAAGGGGACAUAAGACUGGCUCUGCUGGAGUGAGGAAGCUGACUGAGGGAAGAACCAGAAGGCUGCCAAAAUACAAUUGUGUGCCUUUAAAGGAAAUAACAACAAGAAUUAGGAGCGCCCUGGAGGCAAGGUCUGCUGCUGGGGAAACCAAACCACAGUAACUUCAGAAAUAUAUACUUGGAAUAUGUCAUGUAUUAAUGGGUAAAGACACCGUGGAUAUGAAGGAAAUCACCUAUGGGAGAAUAUUAAGAAGAGAAGAAGGGGCUGCUGGCUGUAGUGAAAUGUAUAAAAAGGAGAGUGUGAUCCUAGUUUCUGUCUCUAACUAUGAGUUACUUGUGAUUAACUUCAAAUAUUCUCUCCAUAAGAAGAGGCCCAGAAGAAGAAGAUGAGCUUCAGUUAUUCUAGCACAACUGCUGUGAUAUUUGUAAAUAUUCAAAACCUAUAAUAAAAUGUAUAAAAGGAAACUCCAUUUGAAAUGAUUUGAAAUCUCACAUGGAAAUCUAUUUUUUUUAAAUCAGAGCUUAGUAAGAGAAAAUAACAGAACAUUGUAAUAAUUGAAUUACAAAAACAACUGAAUUUUGGAAAAUUUAUUUUCUCUCAUGUGAUGUGUGUGUAUGUGUGUGUGUGUGUGUGUGUAUCUAUUUAGCAAUGGCGUUAUUCUAUCAAAUGGGAUUAGAUUCAUUUUUGACUCCUGCUAAGCACCCUGUCCCCCCAACCCCAAGAUUAUGAAAGCGGAAGGGAAGGGGGAGAUAGGAAAUAUGACUUAUUUAAACUGUAUAAAAAUGCUGAAAUAAAAUGAACAUUCAAAACUC